UAGACUCCAAAUGUUGGGAAAAAGUCUCAUGCUUACGUUACUCUUACUGAUGGUUUAUUAUCUUGGACCACGAAGACCACAGUGCCAAUAAAGAGUGGGGAAGGGACGGAUUUGAGACUACCGACACUUCUAGCGCUAAUACAUAGAGCUCCCAGGUAGUGAAUUUUUUAGAAAGAGUGUUUCCUGGUUUUAUUAGAGUACAGGUUUUUUCCUCUUCUCCUCUCCGUGUGUAUUGAAUGAUGAAAUGAAUAGAGCCGCGUAGCAUGUAGCAUAGUGAAUGUUGAAAGCUUUGCGUACCAUUCUAAUUCUUAAUGAGGUGACAAGAUUCUUCUCCAAAUAGUCUAGGGGGACAUCCUCAAAGGCAACACUCAAAGCCGGUAUGCCUGGGUUGGAAUGAAUCUAGAACAUAACAGAAUUGAACUAAACUAGGAAAGAACAAAACUUCAACCACCUCAAGCGAAACCCUCAAGCUUUUUAAGGCUGUCCAUCAUCAUAUGUGUGUUGUGAAGCUGGUUCUGAACGUCAAGAGUUUUGAAAGACAACCUGCACCAAAAACUGCACCUCAAGCUGAUCCUUCACUCUGAGCUGGGGAAGGCAAUCAAGAUGCAACCAAAUAAACUUCAACGUACACUCCAUGUCUGCCGAAGACCUCCCAAAACCAACAAACCGUUCAGAAUAACUUUUUGCUCUGCCUCCAAACACUCCAAAUAAAAAAGGCAAGAGAGGCAAGCAUGAAUCAAGCAGCUCAACGUCCGCCCCAACAACUGAAGAAACUCCCAACAGCCCCAACAAGAACAAAUAAUCAGCAUCCAUAAGCUACAAAACUUUGAAAGCUUUUGGCACAAAAAAGUCUCCACCAAAAAACUUUUGCUUGGUCUAACUUGCACGAACUCUGCCUUUUGCAGUUGUAUAAAAAAACUUGUAGUCACAGUCGUGCAAUUAGCAACCAAAGACAGAAACAUAUCUAAACCAUGACUGGUACAUGUAACUUUUGCUAUGAUCAAAUACUUGGUCAAACUAAUGCAUAUAACUUCUGCUACGAGCAACUACAUGCAGAAUAUUAAAAACGACCACAAA